CUCACAAGUAAGUCUGAACUUUCCCAGGGCCAGUGACCCGCAUGGCCUCCGAGAGCACCCACCUCCAGCAGCCACACCUGGCCAGGGUCCCUCUGGAACCUCUGCCUUCCCGGGCCCCCUACCCGACCCCAGGACAACAGGCCCCAUCUACGAGGAAUUACUCAACCCAAACACAGACGUGUACUGCCG